GUGUCAGCAGCCGCGGUAAGACGAACCGUGCAAACGUUGUUCGGAAUCACUGGGCUUAAAGGGCGCGUAGGCGGACAUUAAAGUCAGGGGUGAAAUCCCUCAGCUCAACUGGGGAACUGCCUUUGAUACUGAAUGUCUCGAGUAAGGUAGGGGCAUGCGGAACUGAUGGUGGAGCGGUGAAAUGUGUUGAUAUCAUCAGGAACUCCGGUGGCGAAAGCGGCAUGCUGGACCUUCACUGACGCUGAGGCGCGAAAGCUAGGGGAGCGAACGGGAUUAGAAACCCUCGUAGUCC
rnacentral:rRNA from 1 species